AGUGAACGCUGGCGGUAGGCCUAACACAUGCAAGUCGAACGGCAGCACAGUAAGAGCUUGCUCUUACGGGUGGCGAGUGGCGGACGGGUGAGGAAUACAUCGGAAGCUACUUUUUCGUGGGGGAUAACGGAGGGAAACUUACGCUAAUACCGCAUACGACCUGCGGGUGAAAGCAGGGGAUCUUCGGACCUUGCGCGAUUGAAUGAGCCGAUGUCGGAUUAGCUAGUUGGCGGGGUAAAGGCCCACCAAGGCGACGAUCCGUAGCUGGUCUGAGAGGAUGAUCAGCCACACUGGAACUGAGACACGGUCCAGACUCCUACGGGAGGCAGCAGUGGGGAAUAUUGGACAAUGGGCGCAAGCCUGAUCCAGCCAUACCGCGUGGGUGAAGAAGGCCUUCGGGUUGUAAAGCCCUUUUGUUGGGAAAGAAAAGCAGCAGGUUAAUACCCCGCUGUUCUGACGGUACCCAAAGAAUAAGCACCGGCUAACUUCGUG
rnacentral:rRNA from 1 species